CCCUUAGAUGUUCUGGGCCGCACGCGCGCUACACUGAUGCAUUCAACGAGUCUAAAACCUGCUCAGAUAGGGGUGGGUAAUCUUUUGAAUGUGCAUCGUGAUUGGGAUAGAUGAUUGCAAUUUUUCAUCUUCAACGAGGAAUGCCUAGUAAACGCAAGUCAUCAGCUUGCAUUGAUUACGUCCCUGCCCUUUGUACACACCGCCCGUCGCUCCUACCGAUUGAAUGAUCCGAUGAAUAUCAUAGACUGAGAGUAUAAGCAGGUUCGCCUGUCUUUGCUUCUCGGGAAGUGAAGUAAAUCUUAUCAUUUAGAGGAAGGAGAAGUCGUAACA
rnacentral:rRNA from 1 species